rnacentral:tmRNA from 1 species
GGGGGUGACCGGCUUCGACUUCGGUCGAUCGAGCCAGGGGAAGCGGGUCGAGGGUUGCUGUUGUGACCUCGUAAAUCCUGUGACAGCGAACCAAUAACUGCCAACAAGAAGCAGUCCGAGUUCGCUCUCGCCGCCUGAGGCGAGUAGCGAACUCUGUCAGCCCGGGAGCGUCUCCGACCCGGGGUCUGGCAUCGUAAGGAGACUCCACCUGCAAGCCCGGUCGCGGGACCUGUAGGGAAACCAAACAGCGACUGAGCCCGUCGGCGACACGCCUGCGUGAGCGCCGGGGCUGAGAAAACGCUAAGCAGGCUGCACCCGGAGAAGCCCUGACUCAUUACCGAAGGACGCGGGUUCGAUUCCCGCCACCUCCACCA